UCCAAUUUUCUUUUUCCUUCUUAGCUGCAAUGUAUUCUGUCCACCAAUGUGAUUCCUGAUGACACAAGUUUCUAGAUGGUGAAAGUUUCGCUUAGUUUCGUACAUAAGCAAUGUCUAUAGAUGCAUAAUCUUGCGAUAACUAGAAAUAAAAAUAUUCCUAACCAAGGGGCAAGAGAUCAUAUUAGAGGAAUAAAGAAUUUGGUGGGGGAAUUUGUGGACCCCUCAGACCAGAUUGUGAAGAAUUUCAUGUUCUGAUGUUGUGGUUUAUGAAGAAUUUCAUGAAGAAUUUCAUGGUCUUAGUUGACCAUCUCCCCUUACCCCUUCCCUCUAGAUUAGGCUAGAUUAGGUUAUAAGACAUCUACCGUUGCGAAAAAAAAAA